AUUGAACGCUGGCGGCAGGCCUAACACAUGCAAGUCGAACGGUAACAGGAAGAAGCUUGCUUCUUUGCUGACGAGUGGCGGACGGGUGAGUAAUGUCUGGGAAACUGCCUGAUGGAGGGGGAUAACUACUGGAAACGGUAGCUAAUACCGCAUAACGUCGCAAGCCCAAAGAGGGGGACCUUCGGGCCUCUUGCCAUCGGAUGUGCCCAGAUGGGAUUGGCUAGUAGGUGGGGUAACGGCUCACCUAGGCGACGAUCCCUAGCUGGUCUGAGAGGAUGACCAGCCACACGAGAGCUGGAACACGGUCCAUGGUCCUACGGGAGGCAGCAGAGGGGAAUAUUGGACAGUGGGCGCGAGCCUGAUGCAGCCAUGCCGCGUGUAUGAAGAAGGCCUUCGGGUUGUAAAGUACUUUCAGCGGGGAGGAAGGGAGUAAGGUUAAUACCUUGGCUCAUUGACGUUACCCGCAGAAGAAGCACCGGCUAACUCCGUG
rnacentral:rRNA from 1 species